AACAGGAUUAGAUACCCUGGUAGUCCGCACGGUAAACGAUGGAUGCCCGCUGUUGGUCUGAAUAGGUCAGCGGCCAAGCGAAAGCAUUAAGCAUCCCACCUGGGGAGUACGCCGGCAACGGUGAAACUCAAAGGAAUUGACGGGGGCCCGCACAAGCGGAGGAACAUGUGGUUUAAUUCGAUGAUACGCGAGGAACCUUACCCGGGCUUGAAUUGCAGAGGAAGGAUUUGGAGACAAUGACGCCCUUCGGGGCCUCUGUGAAGGUGCUGCAUGGUUGUCGUCAGCUCGUGCCGUGAGGUGUCGGCUUAAGUGCCAUAACGAGCGCAACCCCUCUCCUUAGUUGCCAUCAGGUUAAGCUGGGCACUCUGGGGACACUGCCACCGUAAGGUGUGAGGAAGGUGGGGAUGACGUCAAAUCAGCACGGCCCUUACGUCCGGGGCUACACACGUGUUACAAUGGCAGGUACAGAGAGACGGUCCCUUGCAAAAUGGAUCAAAUCCUUAAAGCCUGUCUCAGUUCGGACUGGGGUCUGCAACCCGACCCCACGAAGCUGGAUUCGCUAGUAAUCGCGCAUCAGCCAUGGCGCGGUGAAUACGUUCCCGGGCCUUGUACACACCGCCCGUCAAGCCAUGAAAGCCGGGGGCGCCUAAAGUCCGUGACCGUAAGGAGCGGCCUAGGGCGAAACUGGUAAUUGGGGCUAAGUCGUAACAAGGUAGCCGUACCGGAAGGUGCGGCUG
rnacentral:rRNA from 1 species